rnacentral:rRNA from 1 species
CUUCGGUUUCCCCUGUCUGAACCCUUGUCUUUUGCGUACUAUUUGUUUCCUUGGUAGGCUUGCCUGCCGAUAGGACAACCAUUAAACCUUUUGUAAUUGCAAUCAGCGUCAGAAAAACAUAAUAAUUACAACUUUCAACAACGGAUCUCUUGGUUCUGGCAUCGAUGAAGAACGCAGCGAAAUGCGAAAAGUAGUGUGAAUUGCAGAAUUCAGUGAAUCAUCGAAUCUUUGAACGCACAUUGCGCCCCUUGGUAUUCCAUGGGGCAUGCCUGUUCGAGCGUCAUUUGUACCUUCAAGCUCUGCUUGGUGUUGGGUGUUUGUCCCGCUUUUUGCGUGGACUCGCCUCAAAGCAAUUGGCAGCCGGCGUACUAGCCUGGAGCGCAGCACAUUUUGCGCAUCUUGACUUGAACGCUUGCGUCCAUUAAGCACAUAUUUUAACUCUUGACCUCGGAUCAGGUAGGGAUACCCGCUGAACUUAA